CUAUAUCCUAUCCUUGGUUACUUCUUUCUAGAAUACCUAGUACAGAGAAUGGAUCUUAAGAAGGUAAAGAAGAAGCAUCAUCCGCAGGAGCUGGAAAGUAAUCAGGUAAAGAUACUGGUUCGGUGCUUGUGUUUAGCAAUGCAAGUGGAGGUCGGAAAAAGUCAUAGAUUCGCUUUUGAGUUUGGCAGUGAGGUUCGGUAGAGCACUUAUAGAGAGUGAGCUUGCCUUUCUUUGCUUUUGUAGUAGUAGCUCAUCCCGUUGUCGGACUCGGUAAUAACAACUAGUAGUAACUUGCCUGGUUGCUUGGCUACGUUUCCUCUUUGGGUGCAAGUCAGGUAGUCUCAAGAAAAGAAGCCGGUGAUUAAUUCUAGGAUCCAUAGGCUUGAGCAGGUACAGGGGCAUAAUAUCUUACUUUACAGGACUGGCUUCUUCAGCGCUAAGUACCGAAGUCGAGUCGACAGAAGAAUCUUCCAAUUCCGGAUCAACAGCAG
rnacentral:lncRNA from 1 species